CCCCUCCUCCCUUCCGCCUCCCCCUCUCCCCUCCCCUCCCACGCGCCUCCUCUCCUCCCACCCACAUCGCCGCCGCCGCCGCCACCCACUGCCUCGAACCACGGCGUCGGCAUCCAUCCACCUCUCCGGCGGCGGCCAGAUCCGCCGCAACAGAGCCCCCCUCCCCCCCGCAACGACGACGAGCAGCAGCGGAGGGAGGACGAGGAGCAUGGCGGCGGCAGCAGGAGGCCAAUACGGCGCUCCCCUUCUCUGCCAUGGGCGUGCGGAUCUCCCGCAACUCCUCCCGGGCGCGGAUCUGGACCGACCACGCGGCCAGUGAGAACUGGGAGGAAGAGGAGGCAGAGAAGGAGAUGAAGCGGAAGAAGAUAUGGCGAAGUAGGUGUAGCGAUUAGCAAGAGACCCCCAACGGAGCACCUCAUCCCCAACGAAAUCCUCCAAGCAACGCCCCUUCUGAAUUAUUUGUUCAGAGAUUUUAAAGCUGUCUUUCUUCGAUGGAAUAUCAUAUAGAGAAUAACCUAUUUGUUAUCAGCGACUCGGCUUUCUCGAUCUAUUAGGUAGCCACCUUCAUCUUAUCUACCUAUGUGCAUAUAUACUACUGUUGCAAAGGGAGGCCACAUCCUCCUCUGGAGCUCAAUGAUGCGCCUCCCCCGGCUACAUCUGAGAUUGAGAGGACUAACCUUUGGAGCAGGCUGCAUUUGCUAUUUGAUGUUGAAGGAUCUGGAGCAAGCUACAUUUGCUAUGGCACAGAUCGGUUAUGCAUGGAUAUGAAAUUAGUGCUCCUUGUAUGAUAUUUUUUACUUAACGAUCUUCUUUCUCUGCCUCUCUUUUUUCACUGCAAAUAGCGAGUAUUUUGAACUAAAAAAACAAGAGGUAUUUAACUUACAACUCUAGGCUGUGCAAAUAAACAUGUAUAUGGUUUUGAAGUACCGGCCUCUUUUGAGUUAAUGCCCUACUGAAUACCACUUCUUAUGUUACUUUGUACCUACAGAGACCUCAUUAGGAGAUAAGUUCUAUUGUGCAUAGGGAGUAUAUGAAGGAAAAUUAACUGGCUUCAUUAAAUCGAGGGAACAUUUUUACUGAAAACACAUGGUAUUUUAGCAUGGAGUUUUAUACCCUGCAAAUAAACAUCGUUAUGGUUUUUGGGUAAAUCAAUAGCGGAAAUUUAAGCAUGAAGUCAGUCUAGAUGCCAGUUGUGCUUAUGUUCUGCUUAUUCUACCCAAGUUACUGCUAGAUGGGUCAUUUGCUGGGCAUUUUGAAGGCCUCGAGGAUCAUCAAAGAGGUACUAAAACAGGGAAGCGUUGGAGAAAAUCAUUUUUGAACUGUAUGACCAGGGGAUUUUAUCUACUCUGUUUGUUUAUCAUGAAAGAUGUACUAAAAUAGGGACUCUGAUUCUGAUUAUUCGCUAUAUGUAGUUUUGCAAUUGAUGCGAUUAGGAUAUUACUGGGGGAUUUUAUCUAGGUUCCAGGGUGUUGAAAAUUAAAAAUAAUGUAACUAAAAUUUACUAAAUUUAAAGCUGCAUGUAAGAUUUAUGGUUUAAAAUGAACAUACUUCCAAGUUCCAGAUCAGUUUGCUGUGUGUGUGUGUGUGUGUGUGUGUGUGUGUGCAUGCACACUCCCACUUGAAGAAUAUGUGUUUUCUACAUUGCAAACCAAACUGAUAUGUAACAUGGGCCCAUUGCUCCUCUGCGUGGGAUCGUGGGAUACGACCUGCUUUGAAUUCCAGAGUAAGGUAUUUUCUUGGAUCUCAUUGACCAUAAAUAGAACAAUCUGAAACCCUGUUGUGAAUUGGUGUCUCAGAUAAAAUGGUAACAUUUAAUAGCAAAAAGUUUCAUUUAGUUUAAUGGAUGCUAUGCGUCAUGAGAGUACUUGAUCUUUCUAUAUGUAUUACAGUUUGCCAUCUGGUGUCAAUCUAAUUUGUUGAUACGAAAAUGAGCAAUUGUGAUGCACCUCUUCUUUCCUAAUAAUAGUUUGCUUCUGACUAGCGACCGGUGGCGCUGGGUGCGCUUGCUUACUUUGUCGCGCAACUUCUUUGAUCACCGCGUACAACCCGACCUGGGCGUUGCAGCUCUGUCCGUGGUGCUCUCAUGGAUGUAGCGGUGACACCUCUCCAAGAAUACAUGUCCAAAAAUCUUUAUUUUGUGUAAAAUUGGAGAUUAUGUUGAAUCUGCCAUGAGAAGCUCAGGCUGCCACCACACAAAGGGAGAGGAAGCCAAGAUGAAUCUAUCCCGCCUUAUUGUCCAUGACCCGACGACAGAGACAACUACUUCGAGCCUAGAUAUAGGCCUCCUCGACGGUGUCUGAUCAUCACACUGUAAGAUCUUCCAUGCUUGGUUUUUUUCAUUUGCCAAUCUAAAUUUCAAUGGAUACAUGGUGUUUCAAGUUAUGGCCAAUUAGUCUUGGUUUGGGAAAAUAAAAAUACUGAUUAUGAUUAAUGACAUAUGAUAAAGUUUGUUACCACAAGUGUGUCCCUUUCUUCCUAUGUAUAGUUCAAAGUGGUAUAACGCAGCAUGCCAGCAUUCAGUUUUUUUAUAAUCCUUUAGGAGGGAAGAGUUCCCUGCAUUCAGUUUUUUUAUCAUCCUAUAGGUGGGAAGAAUUGUCUGGUUUCUAGGUUCCCUGUAUGCACAACAAGAAAAUGUUUGUGGAGCUAAGUUCUGUGUUGUCAAAUGUAGAGUGACAGUUACAAAAUCGUAGUUACAUGUACAUUGACCAGCCUUGAAAUUAUUCCAUAGAUUGAGGAAUGUGUUGCUGAAAGUAUUAGUUUUUGAUUGUCAAGUAGAAGGUUUUGUAUGUCAUGACCUUGGUCGUGCCUCCUUGGACCGGAAUGCAACGUCGAAUAUGUCGUCCAUGGCCUCUUGCGCCACCACCACCAUUUCUGCCUCGCACUGCAUCAACCCCCUCCUUCACCAACCAACGAUCAAACCUACCAAAAUGUUCAGAAUUGGGAUGUGUGAAUGCUCUAUCUUUUCAGUUACGUAGAUUCAUUAUUCAGUCCUCAGGCCAUCUACUUACUGGAAUAGGCAACAAAUGGAGGAGGGUAGACUAUAGAAACUGGUCUAAGGUUGCAAAAGUAGUGGGAUGAACAUUACUUAGCAGUAUACAAAUUCAUAACAUAUUCUUAGGUUUAUGCUUGAUUAUUUGCAUGAUUUUGGCUGCUCCCAACUCUGUUCUUAGCUGAAGGUUAUUCAUCAAAAUUCAUGGACAUUGGAGGACAUAUUUAUAUGUAUAGUAAGACUUUUAUUUUCUCGGUGAUAUUCACCAACCCGUCCACCUGAGCAUGAUGCUGCCACUGCUCUCCCUGUCAAGGCCGCCCCUCGGAGCUACUCCUGAUCCACCAGUUGGCGCUCUCCCUUUGUAGGGUGGCGAGGAGCACCGGCAGAUCGAGUCCCCACUCCCCAGUGUUUUCCUCUAGGGCUCUCGACGAGGCAGAUCGGGCCCCAAGUCGUGAUCUUCAUCUCGUGAUGGCCCCGUCGGAGCUCUGCUGCCUGGAGCUCCACUCCGUCGAGGUUCCAGGUCACCUCGUCUCUCUCUGUGUGUCUCUCUCUGACCGUUGCUCCUCCCGUCUUCGGAGCUCAUGUGGGAGAUGUUGUAUGCUCAAGGAAGGAUUGGUUGGUUCAUUUGGUAAAAUAUUUCUCAACAAAAUCACAUGUACCAAGAUACUAUACUGAUCCAGAAAAGGUUUUUGCAACAUUAGGGGGCUAUAUGCAGAAGAUACGUAAAGCGUUUUCUUAUCAUGCUUACUGUCACAUGUUUCCUCUUUAUUGGGUGAUUGUUAAUUACUUAAUUAUAUCUUUUUGAUUCAAAUUGAUGUAACAAUGUUUCUGCAAAAUUGCCUUUCGACAUGCUCUGUCUGUAUCACCUGUGUAUAUAUAUGUUUAUUUGGCUGCUUGAUGUUUCCCCAGUCAAUCAUAUUGAAAGGGUUCUUCCAGUUGUACGAGUAAAUUAAAACAUGAUGAAAAUAUACAAGUUUUGGUUCUACUAUACCCUCCAGUUUAGGUUACUAAUGUGGUUGGUUGAUGUUUAUACUAUAACAGAUCUUACUAGGUACAUGCUAACAACAAUCCUCUUGUUUAAUUUGACAUUUACCAGGGCUCAUCUUGGUUCUAUUGUACCCUCCAGUUUAGGUUACUAAUGUGGUUGGUUGAUGUUUAUACUAUAACAGAUCUUACUAGGUACUUCCUCCGUCCCAAAAUAUAAGAUCGUUUUCAACACUAGCAUAGUGUCAAAAAUGUUCUUAUAUUCUGGGACAGAGGGAGUACAUGCUAACAACAAUCCUCUUUUUAGCAUUGAAGGGUGUCGAUGGGAGAGCGACUAUCACAAGAAAUUGGUCAAAACUUUGUGACAACAGCAGAGCUUCCAGAGCAUCAUAUAUGUGCCUUUACCUUCAAUGCUAAAAAUGCAUCUGUUGCUCACUGUGUACCCACUUUUUAGAAGAUUGAUUACAAAGUUGCACUAAUGUCGAGUGGCUAUCUUUUGUGAUCUUACGGACGCACUGAAAUCGGUUCUGCCUUGUAGUCUCAUGAUGAUAUUGAGCAAUGCUGUUUCGCUACUAUCACAAUUGAAUAUUUCUUCUUCGUUUUAUUGUUAUCCUGUAUGAUUGUGUA